rnacentral:lncRNA from 1 species
AUUUGCUUCCCUUUCUUGUGUAUAUGAGAGAUCCAGCUUUGUAUUGUGGCUUGUAAGGAAGUGUUAGAACAGAUAGUGGUUAACUCUAUCCCUGGGCUAUAACUGGUUUCUCUUUUUGUCACAGCAGAGACACUGCAGAGAGGAUACAGAAGGUGCUAGACAGUCCAGGAACAUUCUUUGACUUGAAGUCUGAUGGAUCAUCCAGUCCCAGCUCCCCAGAGUUCCCCAACAGGAAGAGCAAACACAUCUGAGUGGGGACAUCAAGCCAAUCAGGAGUGGACCGGAUGCUACUCAGUCAUUGGUUGCCUCACUGAAGAUACUGGCAAGACUUUUGGGGUGAAAUGAGAGUCCGGGCUAAGAGGAGCAUGAACUUACUUAGAGGACCUCAAGGACUGUGGAGAGACCAUGUGGCUUCAAGUAACGCUCCACUGGCAGUUCCUGGAGCAGGAAUCCUGGGAAAGGGAGAUGGACAGAUAGCUCCUAUUGGAGCAUUUUGGCUCUAUGCCCUUCCUAUUGCCCCAUCAGCAGCCACUGAAGCAGCCUCUACUAAUGAUGGGGAAAGGAGGCCACCUUGAGUGCCUCCCCUUCUCUUCCCCUCCCCUCACAUGAGUGAGAACAGAACAGCUUGGCCCACAGAAGGCAAGAGAAGAAGACCAUGUUUCCAUCGGUCUCUAGUGCCUUUCAAUGACAUAGGUCAGGAAGUGCAGUGCAGAGAACAAGGAUGGAGAAACCUGCUGAGGAAGGAUGCUGAUAAGGAGAUACUUUGGGGAAAUCUAAGUCCCAGUUCAUUUAAAUUCAUGUUAUUCAUUUGUUCUGCCAAGGGAGAAGCAUGUUGGCCUUCAUUUCCUCCAAAGUAUAUUUCCUAGUCUCCUGAAGAAAUACCUUGGCCUAUAUUGGCCCUAUCUUUACUGUUCUCCCUGUUGCAUGCUGGCAUGUAAUAUGCCUGGGACUUUAGGUUUCAUUACUGCUUGUAGGUCAGACUGGCCAUAUUUUGCAGUGUUUCUGAAGGAAUAAAUAUAUUUAGUAUGUUAAA